UGGGGAAUCUUGGACAAUGGGGGCAACCCUGAUCCAGCGACGCCGCGUGGGUGAAGAAGGCCUUAGGGUUGUAAAUCCCUUUCACCGGGGAGGAUGAUGACGUUACCCGGAGAAGAAGCACCGGCUAACUCCGUGCCAGCAGCCGCGGUAAGACGGAGGGUGCUAGCGUUGUUCGGAAUCACUGGGCGUAAAGGGCGCGUAGGCGGCUUGGGCAGUCAGAUGUGAAAGCCCGGAGCUCAACUCCGGAACUGCAUUUGAUACUCCCUGGCUAGAGGUCGAAAGAGGAGAGUGGAAUACCCAGUGUAGAGGUGAAAUUCGUAGAUAUUGGGUGGAACACCAGUGGCGAAAGCGGCUCUCUGGUUCGAUACUGACGCUGAGGCGCGAAAGCGUGGGGAGCAAACAGGAUUAGAUACCCGCGUAGUCC
rnacentral:rRNA from 1 species